AAAGCUCAAAUUUCGAAAUCCCCCCGGGGAGUUGUAAUUUGAAGAUUGCGUCUUGGAGGCGACCGUGUCUAUGUUCCUUGGAACAGGACGUCACAGAGGGUGAGAAUCCCGUGCGGCACGGCCCCCGGCUCCUUAUAAGGCGCUCUCGACGAGUCGAGUUGUUUGGGAAUGCAGCUCAAAGUGGGUGGUAAAUUCCAUCUAAAGCUAAAUACAGGCGAGAGACCGAUAGCGAACAAGUACAGUGAUGGAAAGAUGAAAAGCACUUUGAAAAGAGAGUGAAACAGCACGUGAAAUUGUUGAAAGGGAAGGGCAUGCCGUCAGAUUGUCAGUGUGGGUAAGAAGCGGGGUACAAAGACUGUGGAACGUGGCCCUCGGGUGUUAUAGCCGCAGUUCAUGCCCCGUCUCUUUCCGAGGCCUGCUUUGAGGACACCGACGUAAUGACGGUACGCCGCCCGUCUGAACCACCGGGACCAUGCGU
rnacentral:rRNA from 1 species